rnacentral:snRNA from 1 species
AACACAGUGCAGUAUCAUAGCCAAUGAGGUUAAUCUGAGGUGUAAUUAUUGCUAGUUGAAAACUAUUCCUUCAUUUGCUUUGAAAUUGGAUGCAAACAUUUAUGUCACGUUGUUUGAUG